rnacentral:rRNA from 1 species
GACGAACGCUGGCGGCGUGCCUAAUACAUGCAAGUUGAGCGCUGAAGGUUGGUACUUGUACCAACUGGAUGAGCAGCGAACGGGUGAGUAACGCGUGUGGAAUCUGCCUUUGAGCGGGGGACAACAUUUGGAAACGAAUGCUAAUACCGCAUAAAAACUUUAAACACAAGUUUUAAGUUUGAAAGAUGCAAUUGCAUCACUCAAAGAUGAUCCCGCGUUGUAUUAGCUAGUUGGUGAGGUAAAGGCUCACCAAGGCGAUGAUACAUAGCCGACCUGAGAGGGUGAUCGGCCACAUUGGGACUGAGACACGGCCCAAACUCCUACGGGAGGCAGCAGUAGGGAAUCUUCGGCAAUGGACGAAAGUCUGACCGAGCAACGCCGCGGGAGUGAAGAAGGUUUUCGGAUCGUAAAACUCUGUUGGUAGAGAAGAACGUUGGUGAGAGUGGAAAGCUCAUCAAGUGACGGUAACUACCCAGAAAGGGACGGCUAACUACGUG